GAUGAACGCUGGCGGCGUGCCUAAUACAUGCAAGUCGAGCGAACAGACGAGGAGCUUGUUCCUCUGACAUUAGCGGCGGACGGGUGAGUAACACGUGGAUAACCUACCUAUAAGACUGGGAUAACUUCGGGAAACCGGAGCUAAUACCGGAUAAUAUAUUGAACCGCAUGGUUCAAUAGUGAAAGACGGUUUUGCUGUCACUUAUAGAUGGAUCCGCGCCGCAUUAGCUAGUUGGUAAGGUAACGGCUUACCAAGGCAACGAUGCGUAGCCGACCUGAGAGGGUGAUCGGCCACACUGGAACUGAGACACGGUCCAGACUCCUACGGGAGGCAGCAGUAGGGAAUCUUCCGCAAUGGGCGAAAGCCUGACGGAGCAACGCCGCGUGAGUGAUGAAGGUCUUCGGAUCGUAAAACUCUGUUAUUAGGGAAGAACAAAUGUGUAAGUAACUAUGCACGUCUUGACGGUACCUAAUCAGAAAGCCACGGCUAACUACGUG
rnacentral:rRNA from 1 species